CACGUAGGGGGCGAGCGUUGUCCGGAUUUAUUGGGCGUAAAGAGCUCGUAGGCGGUUUCGUAAGUCGGAUGUGAAAACUCCAGCUCAACUUGGAGACGCCAUUCGAUACUGCGAUGACUUGAGUCCGGUAGGGGAGUGUGGAAUUCCUGGUGUAGCGGUGAAAUGCGCAGAUAUCAGGAGGAACACCGAUGGCGAAGGCAGCUCGCUGGACGGUGACUGACGCUGGAGACGCGAAAGCGUGGGGAGCAAACAGG
rnacentral:rRNA from 1 species